CAUUUGUUGUUGGCUGCUUGCCACUAAGCACUCCCCUCCUUCACCCCUUGACCCCGAAAAGGCCAUCUUUAAGAAACCCUAGCUCUACGAGGACAACCCUAGGCGGAGAACUUAACUGCGGAAGCCCUAAUUACAUUGCUUUUUUGCUUUCAAUGGCAGCAUCCAGACUUGCAAUGAGUCAAAGGAUCAUGGCGACCAAACCUCAGAAGCUUUUGCAGUAGAAGCUGUACUAUUACCAGCCUCAAAAUCAUCGAUUGAAGCAGCAUGUUGCAAUACAGUUGAGGAUGGAGGUUCAAAAAAUAGUUUUUUUGAGCCUGCCUUCUCCUAAAGCCCCGAAGGACUCAAAUUUUUGCAGUGCAGAAGCUUUAUUCAUAAUGGGCCAGUGAACAGUUGAACUAACUGAGGACUUAAAAUCGUUUUUCCUUAUGUUUUUUUGUGUCCAACAUAGUUUAUUAUUGCAUAAUGAAUGAAUAUAGAUAUCCCUUGAUCAGUUGGCUUUAUAGGUUUUGUUGUUUAAAAAAAUAUAUAUUUAAAUUUGUUUAUUCAUUUGAAUUAACAAGCUUUAGUUACUCUUAUUUGAAUAAGCAUCUCAGUUAUUCUUUAAGCAUGUUAAUUCAUUUGCUGCCCUAUUUGUUGAUGAGUUUCCAAUAGAGAGAUCUCGUGCGAUGAGUUUAUAAGAAAAGAUCAUGCAUUUUGUGAGGUUUAUAUCUUAUUUUUUUAUACUAUUUUGAAGUGGAUUUUUAAUGCUCAAGUAUCAAAUGUAUUGCUAUGACAAUUCUGUUACAAACAACAUUACCACGUAGGGACGGAAUGAUCAUUUGUUCAGAAACAGCUGACGCAUAGUCGUUUUCAAACUGCAAAAAAUAAACAAUAAGUCAGCUUAUCCGCAACAGUUUCUGCGCAGCAGCUUCCUGGGGCAGCUCCUGCGCAGCAGCUAAUUGAUAUGCUGCAGCUACCCCAAACAGACCCUAAGUGGUCCAAAAUUAGAGCUUGAGGUGUUGAGAGAUCAACGAUGACGAAGAACUUGCGAGAGAGCCAUUGCAAUGUUAGGAAUCAUAAAAUUUGUCUUCUAAAUGAACUUGCGUGCCCUGAGAGGAGAUGCAGGUUAACUUCAUUGACAUACUUUUGCCAAACAAUCAGUUUACAAUGAUUUCAGGAGCAGGUGGGUGACAAUUGAGGUCAAGCAAAGCGGCUGGACCUG